AGCGAACGCUGGCGGCAGGCCUAACACAUGCAAGUCGAACGAACUCUUUGGAGUUAGUGGCGGACGGGUGAGUAACACGUGGGAACGUGCCUUUAGGUUCGGAAUAACUCAGGGAAACUUGAGCUAAUACCGAAUGUGCCCUUCGGGGGAAAGAUUUAUCGCCUUUAGAGCGGCCCGCGUCUGAUUAGCUAGUUGGUGAGGUAAUGGCUCACCAAGGCGACGAUCAGUAGCUGGUCUGAUAGGAUGAUCAGCCACACUGGGACUGAGACACGGCCCAGACUCCUACGGGAGGCAGCAGUGGGGAAUAUUGGACAAUGGGCGCAAGCCUGAUCAGCCAUGCCGCGUGAGUGAUGAAGGCCUUAGGGUUGUAAAGCUCUUUUGUCCGGGAAGAUAAUGACUGUGCCGGAAGAAUAAGCCCCGGCUAACUUCGUGCCAGCAGCCGCCGUAACAC
rnacentral:rRNA from 1 species